AAAUAUGUCCCAAAUGAAAGAACAAGACAAAAAUUAAAAAAAACCCACAAAAAACAAAAACCGAAAACGAAACCCCAAAUGGCAAGCAAAAUGGAGAUAAGCAAUCUGCCAGAUAAAGUUCAAAGUAAUGGUCAUAAAAAUGCUCACUGAACUAGGGAGAGGAAUAGUUGAACACAGUGAGAACUUCAAUAAAGAGACUGAAAAUAUAAAAAAGAACCAGUCAGUGCUAAAGAAUACAAUAACUGAAAUGAAAACACACCAGAGAUUCAAUAACAGAUUAGAUGAUGCAGAAGAAUGAGCAGCAAUAUAGAAGACAGGGCAGGGAUCCCUGGGUGGCGCAGCGGUUUGGUGCCUGCCUUUGGCCCAGGGCGCGAUCCUGGAGACCCGGGAUCGAAUCCCACGUCGGGCUCCCGGUGCAUGGAGCCUGCUUCUCCCUCUGCCUGUGUCUCUGCCUCUCUCUCUUUCUCUCUCUGUGACUAUCAUAAAUAAAUAAAAAAAAUAAAUAAAUAAAAAAUAAAACAAUGCUCAUAUUAAAAAAAAAAAAAAAAGAAGACAGGGCAGUGGAAAUCAUCCAAUCAGAGCAUCAAAUAUAAAAAGAAUAAAGAAUGAGGAUAGUUUAAUGGACCACUGAGUACUAACAUUCAUUAUAGGAGUCCCAAGGAGAAAAAACAAAGAAAGGGAAAGCAAACCUAUCUAUAGAAAUAAUGACUGAAAAGUUCCCUAGCCUAGUAAAGGAAACAGACAUCUAGGUGCAGGAAGCAUGGAGAGUUCCCAAUAGGACGAACCCAAAGUGAACCACACUAAGACACAUUAUAAUCGAAGUGUCAACAGUUAAAAAUUAAGAAUCCUAAAAACAGCAAGAGAAAAACCACUAGUUAUGGACAAGGGAACACCUGAAGAUAACUAGCUGAUUUUUUAGCAGAAACUUUACAAGCCAGAAGAGAGUGGCACAACAAGAAUGCUGAAAAAGAAACAACUUACAACCAAAAAUACUCUAUCCAGCAAGGAUAUCACUCAGAAUAGAAGGAGAGAUAAGGAGUUUCCCAGGCAAGCAAAACCUAAAGGAGUUCAAACUGGUCUUACAAGAAAUGUUAAAGGGACAUUUCAUUAAAUGGUAAAGAAAAGGCCAUUACUAGAAAUUUCAAAAUAAUGAAAGAAAACAUUGCACUGGUAAAGGUAAGCAUACAGUAAAGGUAGUAGACCAACAACAUAUAUGCUAGUGUGAAGGAUAAAAGAUAGAAGUAGUAUAUUAUCUUGAUCUACAAAAAUUAGUCAAGGAAUUCUCAAAAUAAUAUGUAAAAUAUGUCAAAAACAUAAAACACGGCAGAGAGUAAAAAUGUAGUGCUUUUAGAACAGGUUUGGGACGCCUGGGUGGCUCAGAGGUUGAGCGUCGGCCUUUGGCUAAGGGCGUGAUCCUAGUCCCAGAUCGAGUCCCGCAUCGGGCUCCCUGUGAGGAACCUGCUUCUCUCUCUGCCUGUCUCUCUCUCUCUCUCUGUGUCUCUCAUGAAUAAAUAAAUAAAAUCUUUAAAAAAAAUAAAAUAAAACAGAGAAAUUUAUUAAAAAAAAAAAAGAACAGGUUUGAACUUAAGCCACCAACAACUUAAAAAGGACUGCUAUACGCAUAGUUUAUUACAUAUGAACCUAUGGUAACUACAAACCAAAUACUUAUAAUAGAAGAGACAGGAACACAAAUAUAUCACCAAGGAAUGUCACCAACUUGCAGGGGAAGAGAGCAGUAAUAGAGAAGAACAAAGAACUACAAAACAACCAAAAAACAACAAAAUGACAAUAAGUAGGUAUUCAUCAAUAAUUACUUUAAAUGUAAAUAGACUAAAUGCUCCAAUCAAAAGACAUAGGGUGGCUAAAUGGAUACAAAAAACAAGACAAAUAUAUAUAUUGCCUACAAGACACUCACUUCAGCACAUACAAAGACUGAAAGUAAAGGAAUGGAAAAAGAUGAAAGCUGUGGUAGCAAUUCUUAUACUAAACAAAAUAGACUUUAAACCAGAGACUGCAACCAGAGACAAAGAAGGGCAUUAAUAACGAUCAAGAGAUUAUUCAACAAGAGGAUAUAACUCUUGUAAAUAUCUAUGCACAUAACAUAGGGACACCUAAAUACAUAAUGCAAAUAUUAACAGACAUAGAGGGAUAAAAUUACAGCAAUACAAUAAUAGCAGGGGAUUAUAAAACCCCACUUACUUCAAGGGAUAGAUUAUCCAGAUAGAAAAUCAACACAGAAAUAUUGCUUUAUAUAACACAUUAGACCAGAUGGAUUUAAUAGAUACAUGAAGAGCGUUCCUUCCUAAACCAGCAGAAUACACAUUCUUUUCAAGUGCAUACAGAACAUUCUCUGGGAUAGAGCACAUGUUAGGCCACAAGAUAAGUCUUAAUACACUUAAGAAGACUGAAAACUCAUUACACAUCUUUUCCUACCACAACUGUAUAAAAGCAGAAAUCAAUUAGAAGAAAAGGGGAAAAAACACAAAGUCCUGGAGGCACCUGGGUGGCUCAGUUGGUUAAGCAUCUAACCCUUGAUUUCGGUUCAGGUCAUAAUCUAAUGGGUCAUUAGACAGACCCCAUGACAGUCUCUGUGCUCAGUGAAGAGUCCGCUUGAGAUUUUUCCCCUUUGUCCUUCCUUACCCCAAUUCAAGCAUGCAUGCACGAGCACUCUCUCUCUCUUAAAUAAAUAAAUAAAUCAACACACACACACACACACACACACACACACACACACACACACACAACAAAUGGGUGCCUGGGUGGCUCAGGCAGUUAAGCUUCUGCCUUUGGUUCAGGUCAUGAUCCCAGAGUCCUGGGAUCAAGCCCCAAGCUGGGCUCCCUGCUCAGCCGGUAGACUGCUUCUCCCUCUCCCCACUCGCCACCCCGCCCCCACCCCGCUUGUAUGCUCUCUCUCUUUCUUUCUCUCAAAUAAAUAAAUAAAAUCUUUAAAAAAAAAUCAACCAACAAAAAACAAAACAAAACAAAACAAAAAAACCAAACAAACAAAAAACCCAACCACAAACUCCUGAAGGCUAAAGAACAAUGAGUCAAUGAAGAAAUCAAAGAGGGAAAUAAAAAAGAUACCUUGAUACGAAUGAAAAUGGAACCACAACAACCAAAACUUAUGAUAACAUAACAAAAGCAAUUAUAAGAGGCAAGUUCAUAGUGAUACAGGCCUAGCUCAAGAAACAAUAAAAUUCCCAAAUGAACAAUCUAACUUUAUACCUAAAGAAACUAGAAAGAGAGGAACAAAACCCAAAGUUAGUAGUAGGAAGGAAAUAAUAAAGACUAGAGAAGAAAUAAAUGAAACAGAUUAAAAAAUAUAUAAAGAAAUCAAUGAAAUUAAGAGCUAAUUAAAAAAAAAAAGAAUGUAUCUUUAGUCAGACUCAUUAAGAAAAGAGGGCCCAAAUAAAUAAAAUCAGAAAUGAAAGAGAAGUAGAACAGAUACCAGAGAAAUACAAAGGAUCAUAAGAGACUUCCACAAAAAUUAUAUGUCAGUGAAUGAAGCAACCUAGAAGAAAUGGAUAAAUUCCGAGAAACACACAACCUUCCAAGACUGAAUUACAGUGAAAUAGAAAAUCUGAACAGAUUGGUUACUAGUAGUAAAAUUGAAUUAGGAAUCAAAAAAAUCCCAACAAACAAAAGUCUGAGCACAAAAUUCACAGGUGAAUUUUGCCCAACAUUUAAAGAAGAGUUAAUACCUAUUCUCAAAUUAUUCAAAAAAAAAAAAAAAAAAAAA
rnacentral:lncRNA from 1 species